rnacentral:rRNA from 1 species
GACGAACGCUGGCGGCGCGCCUAACACAUGCAAGUCGAGCGAUGAAAUUUUAACCGCUCUCUUCGGAGAGAAGAUAAAAUGGAUUAGCGGCGGACGGGUGAGUAACACGUGAGAAACCUGCCUUUCACAAGGGGAUAGCCUCGGGAAACCGGGAUAAAUACCCUAUGACACAUUUCCUUCGCAUGGAAGAAAUGUUAAAACUCCGGUGGUGAAAGAUGGUCUCGCGCCUGAUUAGCUAGUUGGUGGGGUAACGGCCCACCAAGGCCAUGAUCAGUAACCGGCCUGAGAGGGUGAACGGUCACAUUGGAACUGAGACACGGUCCAAACUCCUACGGGAGGCAGCAGUGGGGAAUAUUGCACAAUGGAGGAAACUCUGAUGCAGCGACGCCGCGUGAGCGAUGAAGGCUUUCGAGUCGUAAAGCUCUGUCCUAUGGGAAGAUAAUGACGGUACCAGAGGAGGAAGCCCCGGCUAACUACGUG